GACUUCCAUCGCGAACCUGCUCCUUCUGUGUGAGGCAACGUGGCGGCGGAGGGAAGAGUUUCCGGGCGGGGAAGGACAGGGAAGGCGAAACCAACCCUCGAAAGGGAGGAAGAGGGCGGGCCCUCAGGCCCUUCACAACUGACAAGGAAAGCCAUAAAUCCCUCUUUUCUCCUAGAGGUACCUUUCAAAACCACAGAACAAUUACCUUUGCUUCUGCCUGGGGCUUUCGCCAGCCUUCGGAGUGUAAACACAUUCUGCGGAGCAACCUUUGAAGACUUUAAUGAUAUGCUUUCUCCAGAUGUUUAGUAGGGGAGGAUUAUGCCUUCUCUUCUGGCAAUUAAGCACGGGGAAACAACAGGUCUGUGGACACCAAUCAGCAGCUAGAGUCUGCAAUAAUCUGAUAUAAAUAGCAUCCAGGACACCUUAUUUUAGAGAUUGUUUUGCAAUUAUAUUUUGCACCUUUUCCAAGGUAAUACUAUCAUGGUGUUGCAGAAGGCUUUCAUGGCCGGAAUCACUAGGUUGCUGCGAGUUUUCCACGCUGUCUGGUCAUGUUCCAGAGUAAUUCUCGCGGAUGUUUUGCCCACAUCUAUGGCAGGCAUCCUCAGAGAUUGUGAGGUCUGUUGAAAACUAGGCAAGUGGGGUUUAUAUAUCUGUGGAAUAAUGUCCAGGGUGGGAGAAAGAACUCUUGUCUGUUGGAGGCAAGUGUGAAUAUUGCAACUGGCCAGCUUGAUUAGCAUUGAAUAGCCUUGCAGUUUUAAAGCCUGGCCUGCAUUUCUCUUUGUACAUGAUUUUGGCCUGAAAUUGCCUGAAAAUCACAUUGCUUUUUAGGAACUGGGGGGAACUGGCAUUGUGUAGCCUCCUUGCAUCCAGACUGGGUUUAAGUAUUCAUUGCACAAAUGGAUUCCUUUAAUUUAUCCUGAAUCCCCUGCCAUUUAGCUUCCGUGGAUGACGGAAUACAGAGUAGCCAAGUCUCUUCUUUCCAUUCAGUCCAUUUGUCUAAAAGAAGAUAUCCUGUGAAGGGGAGCACGCUUUCCGUGCUUGCUGCACACCACAGGAUUUCCCUCUGCACUAUUUUAUUAUUUUCAGACUAAGCCAUACCUUGGUUCUUCUUGCCCUCUGCUGGUGAAGUCCUUUCCAAAGUGUGCGCGAAAUUAUUUAGUACCUUUACUGCAGUCAAAGCAAUCUCUAACAUGGAGAGAGAGGAAAUCAUCUGAUAGCAAUUAAAAUAUAGUAAAAUAAAAAUUCAUUUCAAAUCUCUCAGCUAUGGAAAGAAGCAAUGCUCAUGUUUGGUCCAGAUAUGAAGUUGACUGCCUUCAGUGCUUUCUCUGAACUUGCUUCAGUCAAAGAAGCUAGCCUUGUGUGCUGUGUGCACAGUGGGACCUUGGGAUCAACCCCAAGAAAUUAGAAACUGGAAGAAGAGCUAUUGGGAACUACGAGGGUUGAAUUAAAAGUAAUGCCUGCACCUUCGUAACUCCUCAACAGAUGGCAAUACUGGUAGCGGCAGGUACUGGCUUGUUCAGUAGACUCUCCUCUAUAGUUCCAUUUGGCAGGAAGCCUUAGCAUUGAACGGUUGUGUUGUUAAAGUGCAAAGUAUGGAAUCCUGCGCAGACGGUCAGUCAAUGCAACUUAAGUAAUGUGCAGCCAUUCAAUUCUUGACAGCAGAAGAGAUUCAUCAGAGAAUGCAAGCUGCUUAUAGUGAUUGUGUUGAUGUGAGUACUGUGCAUUGUGUGAACAAGUUUAAAGAUGUUGAGGUGGGAAAAUAUGACUUGCGUGACUUCUGUGACGGCUUCAGAAAACUUGUUCAUCGUUGGCAGAAAUGUAUCCAAUUUGUUGUCGAAGGCUUUCAUGGCCAGGAUCACAGGGUUGUUGUAUUUCUUUCGGGCUGUGUGGCCAUGUUCCAGAAGUAUUUUCUCCUGAUGUUUCGCCCACAUCUAUGGCAGGCAUCCUCAGAGGUUUUCCUUUCCUUCCUUAGUUUCUGCAUACUUCACAACCUCUGAGGAUGCCUGCCAUAGAUGUGGGCAAAACGUCAGGAGAGAAUACUUCUGGAACAUGGCCACACAGCCUGAAAGACAUACAACAACCCAAUGUAUCCAAUUGUCUGGUGAUUAUGUAGAAAGUGAAUAGUGGUAGUUAAAGAGCACAUUCUAAGGAUUAUUUCUGCGUUUGAUUUAUUAAAAUAUUCCCAUCCAAACCCAAGUAACAAAGGUGGAGGCAUUACUUUUCAAAUUACCAAGGUGGAGGCAUUACUUUUCAUUCAACCCUCAUACAUAAACAUGCAUCAUAAAAAAAUUAAAAAUUAAAACAGAAUAAAUCACAAUUUAUUCAAUGCUUUUGAUAAAAGGUAAAGGUUUUCCCCUGACGUUAAGUCCAGUCGUGUCCAACUCUGGGGGUUGGUGCUCAUCUCCAUUUCUAAGCCGAAGAGCCAGCGUUGUCCGUAGACACCUCCAAGGUCAUAUGGUCGGCAUGACUGCAUGGAGCAGUAAUUUUAUACUUGUAUUUUUGAUACAAAAUUUAAAAAAUACUUCAGAUUCAAGCCAGAAAAUACUGCAGAUACAGUGUUCUACUGUUCUUUUGAUUUUGUUUACUGUAGUGUAUAUUUUCUUUUAUUGUAUUGUUUAAUGUGUUAUGAUUUGUUGUCUUAUUUAUAUUUUGUUAUAUUGUAUUGUUCUGGGCAUGGCCCCAUGUGAGCUGCCCUGAGUCCCCGUUGGGGAGAUGGUGGCGGGGUAUAAAUAAAGUUUAUUAUUAUUAUUAUUUAUCCAUCCCCUUCCAAAGGGAAAAUUGCUCCCUUGCAAAGCACCAAGAGGAUCCCAGCCUUUGGGCUGCACCUCUGGGCCUCUAAUGCUUAUCCAGAGCUUUGUGUGGAUUCUCUGGCAUUUACCAGCUUGAAAUGAAGUCUUUUUUGGCUACUGCUGCUGCUGCCAAGCCUUCCUUUGAAUGGGUUUGAAUAGCAGAAUGAUUCUAUAAAUCCCUUCUCUCUCAUGCCCCCAAGUAGUUACCGACACCAAGGUUAUUUGGAUGGCAAAUAUUGGAUGUAUGUGUCACCCUUAUCUCCCGUUGCCCUCUUGCAAAGGGAACUUGGAGUCCUGUUGGUUUCUAUAGUUGAGGAAUCUCCAUUCCCUCCCAAACCCAAUGGUUGCCAUGGAGAUUAUCACUCUGUUCCUGACUGUGGGAUUAUGAUAUUGCUCAGGAAGGAAAGGAAGAGAGAGAGAGAGAGAGAAAGAGGAGAUCUUUAUUUUUGUGUAGGGAAAAUAACUACACCCAUUAAAAAUAGCAGCACUGGGGGAGCGGGGAAGGAUGCUGCGCUUCCCCUCAUUCGAGAUAAAGGAAGUCUUUUUGCUCAAAAGGGAAAGGGGGAAGUGGGGAUUCAUGUCCAUUAUUUUAUUUUGUGUAUCGUUGGAAUGUUUUAAGUUUUUGUCAAAUAUGUUGUGUUGUUGUUUCAGGUUUGUCCUUGUUGUGAGCCGCCGAGUCCCUUUGGGGAGAUGGGGCGGGAUAUAAAAAUAAAGUUUAUUGAUAUUAUUA